GAUGAACGCUGACAGAAUGCUUAACACAUGCAAGUCGAUGGGGAAGUGGUGCUUGCACCAUGGCAACCAUGGCGGACGGGUGAGUAACGCGUAAGGGACUUACCUGCAGGACUGGGAUAACAGGGGGAAACUCCUGACAAGACCGGAUAAUGUCAUGGAGCUGCAUGGCUUUAUGAUGAAAGGAGACGCCUGCGGAGAGCCUUGCGUCCUAUUAGCUAGUUGGUGAGGUAAUGGCUCACCAAGGCGAAGAUAGGUAGCCGGCCUGAGAGGGUGGAUGGCCACAAGGGGACUGAGAUACGGCCCUUACUCCUACGGGAGGCAGCAGUGGGGAAUAUUGGACAAUGGGGGCAACCCUGAUCCAGCAAUUCUGUGUGCACGAAGAAGGUUUUCGGAUUGUAAAGUGCUUUCAGCAGGGAAGAAGUAAGUGACGGUACCUGCAGAAGAAGCGACGGCUAAAUACGUG
rnacentral:rRNA from 1 species